UUUAUAUUACGACCACUUUUAUACUCCUUUCCAAAAAGAAAAAGAAAACUCCCGUCCUAAUUACUAAAAGCUAAGUCUAAUCAUAAUUAAAUAUUUCUAACUUAAAACAAAAUAUCAAAAAUAUCACGACUAAAACCUAGAUUGCUGCUAUUAUGAAACAUAAACCCAGAAAUCAUAAAAAAAAAUAUAAAAGAUAUCAAUGAAAUGGAAGAAUCUCUGCUAUCAUAUGAAACCUAACCAUACAAGCAAAGCGAUUGGGAUGUUGAAGAAUCUCUGCUAAACGAUUGUGAUUUUUGAUUUCUUCUCAGGUACUCGGAUUUAGAGUGAAAGCUGAGUACAGUCUCUUUUUGUCAAUACUUCAGUUUCUUUACUCCACUCCACUAUUACCUCUGUUUCAGAUAUAGGAGGGAGAUCAGCUAACACUUUUUAAGCCUGUUUAUCACUCAACUGACUUUUCUUGAAAGGUAAAAGUAUCCACUAUUGAUUAUUUUCUGUUUGAAAAUAGUGCCUGACGGAGCUGAUAAGGAUGAUUGGGAAUGGUUAAUAAAAAACCAUUUUUAUACUGAAAAGUUCAAGAAAGCGAGUCAACGGAACUCAAAAAAUAGAGGCAAUUUGACAAUGCCUCAUCGUAUUGGAAGCAAGCCGAUGAGGGAGAUAAUAUAUCAAAUGGAUGAAAUAUGCGAGGUAAUGCAAUCGGAUCCCUCUCUUUCAAAUGUUGAGGUAGUCCUAAAAUGUUUUCGAAAUCAAAGCCACGGUCAUGUGGUUGGCUACGGUGGUGGAGUAAAACUAAAACAUUUGAAAGGUCCAUCAACAAAAAAGGCUGAACGUGAAGCUCAACUUCUAGAAGAAAAUCAACUAUUGAAAAGUCGUUUAAGUACAUUGGAAGAUAGAUUUCAAAAGUUCGAAGAAAUGUUCGCCGCUCAAGAAAAAAGAGACGUACCAUCAACUUCAUCUUAUACAACCGAUACCCAACAAAGUUAAUUAUAUAAAAAAAAUCUUUUGUUUUCUUGUGCAAGAGAGGCUUCUACUUUAGAUGUGUUAAUAUCCAGACUCUAUUGCAUGUGGAGGAAAUCCCAAUGACCUUAUGUUCAUCUUUGCUUGGAACACUAACGGCCUUUUAUGAUCUCAGUUUAGUAGACUUUAUAGACUUUUACAUAUGAUAUUUGUUUUAGCAGACUUUUAACAAUUAAGUACUGAAUUUAUGAUUUAUGUGUAAA